GAUGAAGAACGCAGCGAAAUGCGAUACGUAAUGUGAAUUGCAGAAUUCAGUGAAUCAUCGAGUCUUUGAACGCACAUUGCGCCCCCUGGUAUUCCGGAGGGCAUGCCUGUCCGAGCGUCAUUGCUGCCCUCAAGCACGGCUUGUGUGUUGGGCCUCCGUCCUCCUCCCGGGGGACGGGCCCGAAAGGCAGCGGCGGCACCGCGUCCGGUCCUCGAGCGUAUGGGGCUUCGUCACCCGCUCUUGUAGGCCCGGCCGGCGCUUGCCGACACAUCAAUCUUUUUUCCAGGUUGACCUCGGAUCAGGUAGGGAUACCCGCUGAACUUAAGCAUAUCAAUAAGCGGAGGA
rnacentral:misc_RNA from 1 species